CAUUAUAUUGUAAGUAUCUUAGAGAUAAAUCGGUAAUUCGUCCAUUCAUUAUCAUAAAGACAGAUGUACUAUGUAACACGUGUCUUGCCUUUUAUUACUCAUAUAUACUUGCACAUAGUCUACUGGUCCCUUUGAAUCUUGAUCUUUUCAGAAGCCUCAAUUUUCCUGCGCUCAAUCUCUCUAUUCAGAUUAGAAGAUAAUAUUUUCGGGUUUACUUGCUUCUUUCAUCUUAAGGUACUUCUAGCUUUUCCAUUUAUGCUAACUUCAGUGUUCUUCUUUCUUCUUCUCUCGCUCGAUUGACUUUCCUUCUUCAGAAGAUAUUUUUCCCGGGUUUACGCAGUUCUUAAGGUAUUUCAUUUUUCCCGGGUUUACGCAGUUCUUAAGGUAUUUCCUCCUUUCGUUUUGGGUUAAAAUUUAAAUUUUUGAUCACAUUUGGUAAAUGGAUCUUUUUGUGCUAAUAUUUGCUUUUGAAUAUUGGUAAAUGGGUUCGUAUCGGUCUUUUCUUUUUUUCUGGUAUUAGGGUGAAUGCUUAAAUAUGGUGAUCACAAUUUGGUGGGUAUUCGUUAUUUUCCUCUUAUUUUGAAUAAUUUCUUACUAGAAUAUUUACAUGUAUGCCACUAAUUUUACCUGAUUUACACAUGCAUUAUUUCUUUUCGGUGGUUUUUUUUUUGCGCAUAUACUCUCACUUAUUUUACUGCAACUGCACAACAAAAACUCCUUUCCAAAGUGGAAGAUAGAACUUUUAACAACUUGAACAAUAGAGUCUCCAUGACAAAAAUUUACAAAAUAGACACAUCAAUAUUAUUUAACCAUUUAUAUAAAAAGAACAAUCAGACAGUAAGAAACAACAACCACGGAAGACAAAGAAGAUAAUUUGGUAGAGGUCAAUUACACUAAAGGUGCCAAGCUUUGCUACACUAUGACAAGAAAACAAAGAAUCUUGGAGUAGGCUAUGCACUUAUGGUAUUUGAUGAUAUGCGUGACUCAUCUCAUUUGGAGCUAACUUAUGGUGCUGUCUAUUGUGUCUGAAAACUUUUAAUACUUGGGAUAAUAAUUGGUUAUAUUGAUGUUUGCUUACAGAUAAAAAUGACCGGAUGUAGGGUACAAUAGCAUUUUGUUGUAGCGGCGAUUUAUCAUUAAGGAGUAGGGAGGAUGUGAUGUUGGUUAUGGAAGUUUUCGGUCGCCUUAAUAUUUUAGAUUUACAGUUAAAACAAUGUGUUACUUUCUUUUAAGUUAUUUUAAACAAGUUUGCCUUAAUCUUACCGAGUUCAGUUAAUUUUUUUUUGCAUACUUACACUAUUUGAAUUCGACAUUUCGUCGCCGUUUGGCUGUUGAAGGCUUUUCUUCUGCACUAUGAAAUGUUAGCAUUUCAAUGUCCUCCAUACAGGUUUUUUAUGAUUGGGAGAUGGUGGCAUCCUUGUGUUUACUGACCAGAGUAUGGAAAAGAUAUAUCUGAAACAGCUGCCAUGACAGUUGCAGAUUGCAGUAAGGCUUCAAACAAUGGUACUUCAAAAUGCCUCCCGGUGGUGUAGUUUUUGGAAUAGCUGAGGGUGGCUACCAAGUUGGGAACGCUGACUCUAGCUCAUUUGAAAUGAUGAAUCAAGAUGUGCUUGAAGAUACAAACAAUUUAUAUUGUUUUUGCAUGUUAUGUCUAUUAUGUUUAAAUAUAAUUCUACAAGAUGAUGUACUUAUGUCUUUUACAAAUAUUGUUGAUGCGCAUAUAUUUUUUUUUG